GGGUUGUGAGGUUAAGCGACUAAGCGUACACGGUGGAUGCCCUGGCAGUCAGAGGCGAUGAAGGACGUGCUAAUCUGCGAAAAGCGUCGGUAAGGUGAUAUGAACCGUUAUAACCGGCGAUGUCCGAAUGGGGAAACCCAGUGUGAUUCGUCACACUAUCGUUAACUGAAUACAUAGGUUAACGAGGCGAACCGGGGGAACUGAAACAUCUAAGUACCCCGAGGAAAAGAAAUCAACCGAGAUUCCCCCAGUAGCGGCGAGCGAACGGGGAGCAGCCCAGAGUCUGAAUCAGCUUGUGUGUUAGUGGAACGGUCUGGAAAGUCCGACGGUACAGGGUGAUAGUCCCGUACACCAAAAUGCACAGGUUGUGAACUCGAAGAGUAGGGCGGGACACGUGGUAUCCUGUCUGAAUAUGGGGGGACCAUCCUCCAAGGCUAAAUACUCCUGACUGACCGAUAGUGAACCAGUACCGUGAGGGAAAGGCGAAAAGAACCCCGGCGAGGGGAGUGAAAAAGAACCUGAAACCGUGUACGUACAAGCAGUGGGAGCACCUUCGGGUGUGACUGCGUACCUUUUGUAUAAUGGGUCAGCGACUUAUAUUCUGUAGCAAGGUUAACCGUAUAGGGGAGCCGCAGGGAAACCGAGUCUUAACUGGGCGUUAAGUUGCAGGGUAUAGACCCGAAACCCGGUGAUCUAGCCAUGGGCAGGUUGAAGGUUGGGUAACACUAACUGGAGGACCGAACCGACUAAUGUUGAAAAAUUAGCGGAUGACUUGUGGCUGGGGGUGAAAGGCCAAUCAAACCGGGAGAUAGCUGGUUCUCCCCGAAAGCUAUUUAGGUAGCGCCUCGUGAACUCAUCUUCGGGGGUAGAGCACUGUUUCGGCUAGGGGGUCAUCCCGACUUACCAACCCGAUGCAAACUACGAAUACCGAAGAAUGUUAUCACGGGAGACACACGGCGGGUGCUAACGUCCGUCGUGAAGAGGGAAACAACCCAGACCGCCAGCUAAGGUCCCAAAGUCAUGGUUAAGUGGGAAACGAUGUGGGAAGGCACAGACAGCCAGGAUGUUGGCUUAGAAGCAGCCAUCAUUUAAAGAAAGCGUAAUAGCUCACUGGUCGAGUCGGCCUGCGCGGAAGAUGUAACGGGGCUAAACCAUGCACCGAAGCUGCGGCAGCGACACUAUGUGUUGUUGGGUAGGGGAGCGUUCUGUAAGCCUGCGAAGGUGACCUGUGAGGGUUGCUGGAGGUAUCAGAAGUGCGAAUGCUGACAUAAGUAACGAUAAAGCGGGUGAAAAGCCCGCUCGCCGGAAGACCAAGGGUUCCUGUCCAACGUUAAUCGGGGCAGGGUGAGUCGACCCCUAAGGCGAGGCCGAAAGGCGUAGUCGAUGGGAAACAGGUUAAUAUUCCUGUACUUGGUGUUACUGCGAAGGGGGGACGGAGAAGGCUAUGUUAGCCGGGCGACGGUUGUCCCGGUUUAAGCAUGUAGGCUGGUUGUCCAGGCAAAUCCGGAUAAUCAAGGCUGAGGUGUGAUGACGAGGCACUACGGUGCUGAAGUAACAAAUGCCCUGCUUCCAGGAAAAGCCUCUAAGCAUCAGGUAACAUCAAAUCGUACCCCAAACCGACACAGGUGGUCAGGUAGAGAAUACCAAGGCGCUUGAGAGAACUCGGGUGAAGGAACUAGGCAAAAUGGUGCCGUAACUUCGGGAGAAGGCACGCUGGUGUGUAGGUGAAGUCCCUGCGGAUGGAGCUGAGACCAGUCGAAGAUACCAGCUGGCUGCAACUGUUUAUUAAAAACACAGCACUGUGCAAACACGAAAGUGGACGUAUACGGUGUGACGCCUGCCCGGUGCCGGAAGGUUAAUUGAUGGGGUUAUCCGUAAGGAGAAGCUCUUGAUCGAAGCCCCGGUAAACGGCGGCCGUAACUAUAACGGUCCUAAGGUAGCGAAAUUCCUUGUCGGGUAAGUUCCGACCUGCACGAAUGGCGUAAUGAUGGCCAGGCUGUCUCCACCCGAGACUCAGUGAAAUUGAACUCGCUGUGAAGAUGCAGUGUACCCGCGGCAAGACGGAAAGACCCCGUGAACCUUUACUAUAGCUUGACACUGAACAUUGAGCCUUGAUGUGUAGGAUAGGUGGGAGGCUUUGAAGCGUGGACGCCAGUCUGCGUGGAGCCAACCUUGAAAUACCACCCUUUAAUGUUUGAUGUUCUAACGUUGGCCCCUGACCGGGGUUGCGGACAGUGUCUGGUGGGUAGUUUGACUGGGGCGGUCUCCUCCCAAAGCGUAACGGAGGAGCACGAAGGUUAGCUAAUCCUGGUCGGACAUCAGGAGGUUAGUGCAAUGGCAUAAGCUAGCUUGACUGCGAGCGUGACGGCGCGAGCAGGUGCGAAAGCAGGUCAUAGUGAUCCGGUGGUUCUGAAUGGAAGGGCCAUCGCUCAACGGAUAAAAGGUACUCCGGGGAUAACAGGCUGAUACCGCCCAAGAGUUCAUAUCGACGGCGGUGUUUGGCACCUCGAUGUCGGCUCAUCACAUCCUGGGGCUGAAGUAGGUCCCAAGGGUAUGGCUGUUCGCCAUUUAAAGUGGUACGCGAGCUGGGUUUAGAACGUCGUGAGACAGUUCGGUCCCUAUCUGCCGUGGGCGCUGGAGAAUUGAGGGGGGCUGCUCCUAGUACGAGAGGACCGGAGUGGACGCAUCACUGGUGUUCGGGUUGUCAUGCCAAUGGCACUGCCCGGUAGCUAAAUGCGGAAGAGAUAAGUGCUGAAAGCAUCUAAGCACGAAACUUGCCCCGAGAUGAGUUCUCCCUGAGACUUUAAGUCUCCUGAAGGAACGUUAAAGACGAUGACGUUGAUAGGCCGGGUGUGUAAGCGCAGCGAUGCGUUGAGCUAACCGGUACUAAUGAACCGUGAGGCUUAACCUUACAACGCCGAAG
rnacentral:rRNA from 1 species